UACGUAGGGCGCAAGCGUUAUCCGGAAUUAUUGGGCGUAAAGAGCUCGUAGGCGGUUUGUCGCGUCUGCCGUGAAAGUCCGGGGCUCAACUCCGGAUCUGCGGUGGGUACGGGGCAGACUAGAGUGAUGUAGGGGGAGACUGGAAUUCCUGGUGUAGCGGUGAAAAUGCGCAGAUAUCAGGAGGAACACCCGGUGGCGAAGGGCGGGGUCUCUGGGGCCGAUACUGACGCUGAGGAGCGAAAGCGUGGGGGAGCGAACAGGA
rnacentral:rRNA from 1 species